UAAACUUCAGAGCAAAGUCCUUCAGGAGAGUAGGAUCAUUUCACUGACCAAUCUGUAUUCAAGAACUUGGAGCGUCCCCAUGCAGAGGUUAAUCUGCUGUGACAGUAGCAGGAAUUAACAUCUUACAUGGUGCAUUUUGUGCAGAGAGGCACACAAACAAUGGUGAAUAGUUAGAAAAAAACAGCUCUAGGAGGCCCAUGUUGAGGCUACAAGACAGAAGCUUCUGGGAUUAUCCACAAGGCUAUUUGAAGAAAAAAAAAGCAAAAAAAGAAACCACACUCCUACUGGACGAGGUUGCUUUCUUGCCGCUGGCAGGAUAACUGACGUAAUGCAGUCUUCACAUUCCUGUACGGAGAGCGGAAGGGCUCAGCUGCAGCACCUGGAAGCAGGAGAAAACUGAGGUUUGUCCCCAAACUGGAAGGAAACAACAGUGGCGCCAUCUACUGGCAGAAUGACCACACUGCACCCAGUGGCGGUUCUAGACCAGGUUUACUGUGGGGGCCAAGGAGGGGCCAGUGUUUAAUCAGAGGGGCACAUUAAAAAUCGUCAAAAUGAUAUUUAAGCAUUCAAAAUCUUUAUUUUAGCUAAAAGUCUCAUAUUUGGAAGAAUUACAUUGAUUGAAGCAAUGAGACUUACCAACAUUAACAGUUAUUUUUGGACGACAAUGACAUUUCUCAUUUUUGUGCACAAUUACUUUUUAUUUUAUUUUGAAAGUGCAGUACAGUGAGAAUGAUCUUUAUAUUUAGCUUUUAUUGCACAAUUAAACUAUUAUACAAUG